GGGCGCGUAGUGGAGUGGUUACCACGUUGGUCUUCGAUUUGAGCACUUGUUAUACAAGAUGCUUAUGUAAUCGAACCAAAGUUCGUCGGUUCGAUCCCGGCCGUGCUCG
rfam:Rhizoctonia solani AG-1 IA unplaced genomic scaffold scaffold12, whole genome shotgun sequence.